CACAGAUAGUGAGAGGCCAUUCUGCACUGCCAUCUAGUGUUGCUGAACUCCACCACUGAAGUAAUUUAAGUUAUCCAGAAUGGCUCGAAAUGGGGCUGAUUUGAAGUGAUGGUAUCAAAGUGCAGUCAUCCUGAGACUAAUUGAAAGCAGCCCGGUUCGAGAAGCCGUAUACGCCUGCAGUGUGUUCAGCCAGACUGUGGAGAGCGCAGCUGAAGAAACAGCAAACACAAAACUGUGCAGCUACUCUAAGGGGAAGUGAUUGCCCCAUCAUUGGCCCAGGUCUUGUAGUGUUUGGACCCUCGCAGAUGCAGCAGAG
rnacentral:lncRNA from 1 species